rnacentral:rRNA from 1 species
UCGAGAGGCUUUGGCAAUGGGGGAAACCCUGACCAAGCGACGCCGCGUGGAGGAUGAAGGCCCUUGGGUUGUAAACUCCUUUUGUCGGGGAAGAAAUGCGAUCAGGUGAACAAUCUGGUCGUUUGACGGUACCCGGCGAAUAAGCUCCGGCUAACUCCGUGCCAGCAGCCGCGGUAACACGGGGGGAGCAAGCGUUGUUCGGAAUCACUGGGCGUAAAGGGCGUGUAGGCGGUUGUGUAAGUGAGAUGUGAAAUGCCCCGGCUUACCCGGGGACCUGCAUCUCAUACUGCAUGACUUGAGUACGGGAGAGGAUGAGGGAAUUCCUGGUGUAGCGGUGAAAUGCGUAGAUAUCAGGAGGAACACCGGUGGCGAAGGCGCUCAUCUGGCCCGAUACUGACGCUGAGGCGCGAAAGCUAGGGUAGCGAACGG